rnacentral:rRNA from 1 species
GGGCGCAGGCUUAACACAUGCAAGUCGAGCGGGGAGAUGUAGCUUGCUACAUUUCCUAGCGGCGGACGGGUGAGUAAUGCUUAGGAAUCUGCCUAUUAGUGGGGGACAACAUUCCGAAAGGAAUGCUAAUACCGCAUACGCCCUACGGGGGAAAGCAGGGGAUCUUCGGACCUUGCGCUAAUAGAUGAGCCUAAGUCAGAUUAGCUAGUUGGUGGGGUAAAGGCCUACCAAGGCGACGAUCUGUAGCGGGUCUGAGAGGAUGAUCCGCCACACUGGGACUGAGACACGGCCCAGACUCCUACGGGAGGCAGCAGUGGGGAAUAUUGGACAAUGGGCGCAAGCCUGAUCCAGCCAUGCCGCGUGUGUGAAGAAGGCCUUUUGGUUGUAAAGCACUUUAAGCGAGGAGGAGGCUACUUGGAUUAAUACUCUAGGAUAGUGGACGUUACUCGCAGAAUAAGCACCGGCUAACUCUGUGCCAGCAGCCGCGGUAAUACAGAGGGUGCGAGCGUUAAUCGGAUUUACUGGGCGUAAAGCGUGCGUAGGCGGCUUUUUAAGUCGGAUGUGAAAUCCCUGAGCUUAACUUAGGAAUUGCAUUCGAUACUGGGAAGCUAGAGUAUGGGAGAGGAUGGUAGAAUUCCAGGUGUAGCGGUGAAAUGCGUAGAGAUCUGGAGGAAUACCGAUGGCGAAGGCAGCCAUCUGGCCUAAUACUGACGCUG